UACGUAGGUGGCGAGCGUUGUCCGGAUUUAUUGGGUUUAAAGGGUGCGUAGGCGGCUUUGUAAGUCAGUGGUGAAAUACUCUAGCUUAACUAGAAGGGUGCCAUUGAUACUGCGGAGCUUGAGUACAGAUGAGGUAGGCGGAAUUGACGGUGUAGCGGUGAAAUGCAUAGAUAUCGUCAAGAACACCGAUAGCGAAGGCAGCUUACUGGGCUGUAACUGACGCUGAGGCACGAAAGCGUGGGGAGCAAACAGG
rnacentral:rRNA from 1 species